rnacentral:rRNA from 1 species
UACGGAGGAUGCAAGCGUUAUCCGGAAUGAUUGGGCGUAAAGCGUCCGCAGGUGGUUGUGUGUGUCUAUUGUCAAAGCAUCAUGCUUAACAUGAUAAAGGCAGUAGAAACUACACGACUAGAGUGCGUUCGGGGCAGAGGGAAUUCCUGGUGUAGCGGUGAAAUGCGUAGAGAUCAGGAAGAACACCGGUGGCGAAAGCGCUCUGCUAGGCCGCAGCUGACACUGAGGGACGAAAGCUACGGGAGCGAGUGGG